rnacentral:rRNA from 1 species
GCCACGCAACACAGCCAAAGAUGAGCCACACAACCAUCGUCUCCUCCUCACCGCUUCCAACCCCUUACCGCAAAGAUUCAAUUCGCAGAGGAACCAAGAGCCCAAAGCUCCCAGCUAGCUAGCUGAAAUGGCUCUCGCCCACCAGAUCACCAACCAGCCGCUCCUCUCCUCCCCGCCGUGCCUCGCAAGAACCAACGGUAGCAAUGCGCGGACGGCGAGGACGGCGUUUCUUGGCCACAGCUGCUGCCUGAAGCUUCGGGAUACAGCGACGAGAUGCGUCGUCGCUUCGUCAGCGCAGGCGGAGCCCAAGUCCGGAGGUGGGGACGGGGAUGGAGGCCAGGAGCCGUACGAGGAGUACGAAGUGGAGAUCCUGAAGCCGUACGGGCUCAAGUUCGCCAAGGGCCGCGACGGCGGCACCUACAUCGAGGCCAUCUUCCCCGGCUCCUCCGCCGAGCAGACCGGCAAGUUCACCGUCGGCGACAAGGUUAUUGCCACCAGCGCCGUCUUUGGAGAGGAAAUCUGGCCGGCGGCAGGGUACGGCCAGACCAUGUACUGCAUCCGCCAGAGAGUUGGCCCUCUCUACAUGAAGAUGCAGAAGAAAUUUGGGAAAUGGGAUGGUGCUGCUGAGCUCUCUGACAAGGAGGUCAUCAGGGCUGAAAGGAACACCGGAAAUGUCAGCACUAAACUCAGAGAGAUUCAGAUGCAAAAUUACCAGAAGAAGAUGGAGCAGAAGAUCCAAAGAGAAGAUGACCUUCGCAUGGGGCUAAAGUUGUACAAGGAUGAAAAAUACGAGGAGGCGUUGGAGAAGUUUGAGUCGGUGCUGGGGUCAAAACCAGAGAUUGAUGAAGCUUCCGUAGCCAGCUACAAUGUCGCGUGCUGUUAUUCGAAGCUCGACCGGAUACAAGCUGGCCUUUCUGCACUUGAAGAAGCGAUGAAAGCAGGCUAUGAAGACUUCAAGAGGAUUCGCACCGACCCGGAUUUAGCAAACUUGAGGAACUCGGAGGAGUUCGCCACCCUACUAAACAAGUACGAUGAAUCAUUUAUCAACGAGAGCGCCAUCAAUGCUAUCAAAUCCAUAUUUGGAUUCGGUAAGAAGUGAUGACCUCCUAUCGAUUGCACACAUCUACUUGGUCUUGCAGUUUGCACACUUGGCCAUACAGCCCAGCCUCUCUCUCUCUCUCUCUCUCCCCCACUAGUUCGAAACAGUAGUUUUAGUUUGUUCUUGCAGAGACUUGGGAGAUAUCUCCAGGAAUGGUUUUAGCCUUCCUUUGUACUUAAACCAUUCUAUGAACAUACACUUUGUACAUAACAAUGGCAAUCCUCCAUUCGGAAAGCAAAGGCUACAGGAAAUAUGUUACCAUCGUGCUU